UGGGGAAUAUUGCACAAUGGGCGAAAGCCUGAUGCAGCGACGCCGCGUGAGGGAUGACGGCCUUCGGGUUGUAAACCUCUUUCAGCAGGGAAGAAGCGAAAGUGACGGUACCUGCAGAAGAAGCGCCGGCUAACUACGUGCCAGCAGCCGCGGUAAUACGUAGGGCGCAAGCGUUGUCCGGAAUUAUUGGGCGUAAAGAGCUCGUAGGCGGUUAGUCGCGUCUGCUGUGAAAAUCUCGAGGCUCAACCUCGGGCUUGCAGUGGGUACGGGCUGACUAGAGUGCGGUAGGGGUGACUGGAAUUCCUGGUGUAGCGGUGGAAUGCGCAGAUAUCAGGAGGAACACCGAUGGCGAAGGCAGGUCACUGGGCCGCAACUGACGCUGAGGAGCGAAAGCAUGGGGAGCGAACAGGAUUAGAUACCCUGGUAGUCCAUGCCGUAAACGUUGGGCACUAGGUGUGGGGU
rnacentral:rRNA from 1 species